GACGAACGCUGGCGGCGUGCUUAACACAUGCAAGUCGAGCGGUAAGGCCCUUUUGGGGGGUACACGAGCGGCGAACGGGUGAGUAACACGUGGGUGACCUGCCCUCAGCUCUGGGAUAAGCCUGGGAAACUGGGUCUAAUACUGGAUAUGACCUUUCCUCGCAUGGGGUUGGGUGGAAAGUUUUUUCGGCUGGGGAUGGGCCCGCGGCCUAUCAGCUUGUUGGUGGGGUGAUGGCCUACCAAGGCGACGACGGGUAGCCGGCCUGAGAGGGCGACCGGCCACACUGGGACUGAGACACGGCCCAGACUCCUACGGGAGGCAGCAGUGGGGAUAUUGCGCAAUGGGCGGAAGCCUGACGCAGCGACGCCGCGU
rnacentral:rRNA from 1 species